rnacentral:tRNA from 1 species
UGUUCUGUGGCUUAGUUUGUUGAAGCGCCGGUCUAGAGGUACGGAGUCGUGGGUUCGAAUCCCACCAAAACAA